rnacentral:rRNA from 1 species
GACGAACGCUGGCGGCGUGCUUAACACAUGCAAGUCGAACGGAAAGGCCCUGCUUUUGUGGGGUGCUCGAGUGGCGAACGGGUGGGUAACACGUGAGUAACCUGCCCUUGACUUUGGGAUAACUUCAGGAAACUGGGGCUAAUACCGGAUAGGAGCUCCUGCUGCAUGGGGGGGGUUGGAAAGUUUCGGCGGUUGGGGAGGGGCGGGCGGCUUAUCAGCUUGUUGGUGGGGUAGGGGCUUACCAAGGCUUUGACGGGUAGCCGGCCUGAGAGGGUGACCGGCCCGAUUGGGACUGCGAUACGGCCCAGCCUCCUACGGGAUGCAGCAGUGGGGAAUAUUGCACAAUGGGCGGACGCCUGAUGCAGCAACGCCGCGUGCGGGAUGACGGCCUUCGGGUUGUAAACCGCUUUCGCCUGUGACGAAGCGUGAGUGACGGUAAUGGGUAAAGAAGCACCGGCUAACUACGUG